rnacentral:misc_RNA from 1 species
AACAUCGCGCACCUGCGGGAACCUGCGGAAGGAUCAUUACAGAGUUGCAAAACUCCCUAAACCAUUGUGAACGUUACCUAAACCGUUGCUUCGGCGGGCGGCCCGGGUCCUUCCCGGCGCCCAUCGGCCCUCGCGGGCGCCCGCCGGAGGUAAACCAAACUAUUGCAUUGUAUGGCCUCUCUGAGUCUUCUGUACUGAAUAAGGCAAAACUUUCAACAACGGAUCUCAGAUCGGAAGAGC